rnacentral:rRNA from 1 species
UACGGAGGGUGCAAGCGUUAUCCGGAUUUACUGGGUUUAAAGGGUGCGUAGGCGGGCCAUUAAGUCAGUGGUGAAAGCUCCGAGCUUAACUCGGAAACUGCCAUUGAUACUAUUGGUCUUGAAUUCGGUCGAGGUUGGCGGAAUGUGUCGUGUAGCGGUGAAAUGCUUAGAUAUGACACAGAACACCGAUUGCGAAGGCAGCUAGCUAGACCGACAUUGACGCUGAGGCACGAAAGCGUGGGGGAUCAAACAGG